rnacentral:rRNA from 1 species
GACGAAGCGAGCGAACGUUGUUCGGAAUCACUGGGCUUAAAGGGCGCGUAGGCGGGCUGUCAAGUCUGGGGUGAAAUCCCGCGGCUCAACCGUGGAACUGCCUUAGAUACUGACGGCCUCGAGGGAGGUAGGGGCGAGCGGAACUGUGAGUGGAGCGGUGAAAUGCGUUGAUAUUCACAGGAACUCCGGUGGCGAAGGCGGCUCGCUGGACCUUUUCUGACGCUGAGGCGCGAAAGCUAGGGGAGCAAACGGG